rnacentral:rRNA from 1 species
UACAGAGGGUGCGAGCGUUAAUCGGAAUUACUGGGCGUAAAGCGUGCGUAGACGGUUAUGUAAGUCGGGUGUGAAAGCCCCGGGCUCAACCUGGGAAUUGCAUUCGAGACUGCAUAGCUAGGGUGCGGAAGAGGGAAGCGGAAUUUCCGGUGUAGCGGUGAAAUGCGUAGAUAUCGGAAGGAACACCAGUGGCGAAAAGCGGCUUCCUGGUCCAGCACCGACGUCAGGCACGAAAGCGUGGGGAGCAAACAGG